GACGAACGCUGGCGGCAGGCCUAACACAUGCAAGUCGAGCGGAUGAAGGGAGCUUGCUCCUGGAUUCAGCGGCGGACGGGGGAGUAAUGCCUAGGAAUCUGCCUGGUUGGGCGGGAUAACGUCCGGAAACGGGCGCUAAUACCGCAUACGUCCUGAGGGAGAAAGUGGGGGAUCUUCGGACCUCACGCUAUCAGAUGAGCCUAGGUCGGAUUAGCUAGUUGGUGGGGUAAAGGCCUACCAAGGCGACGAUCCGUAACUGGUCUGAGAGGAUGAUCAGUCACACUGGAACUGGGACACGGUCCAGGCUCCUACGGGAGGCAGCAGUGGCGAAUAUUGGACAAUGGGCGAAAGCCUGCUCCAGCCAUGCGGCGUGUGUGGAGAAGGUCUUCGGAUUGUAAAGCACUUUUAGUUGGGAGGAAGGGCUGUAAGUUAAUACCUUGCUGUUUUGACGUUACCAACAGAAUAAGCACCGGCUAACUUCGUG
rnacentral:rRNA from 1 species